AUGAAAGGCAACUUCCGAUUCCACAUGACCUGCCCUUCGGAGAGGACCCUGGAAGAACAGAAAGGUCGGGCUUUCCCCGGCUUUCUGGAACCCGCUCUAAUCCCAGUGCCUCGGCCGGUGAGGCAGCCUUUCCUUCCACCUCCCCGAGCUGAGGGCCUGCUGGUGCCUCUCCCUGGACGAGCCCUGCUCGGGCCCCCUUCAGUGGGGCUCACCCGGGGCGCCUUCUGCUCCUGGCCCGGUUCAUCAUUGGAAGAGAAGCCGCCCCCUCCCUCCCUCCCUCCCUCCCUCCCUCGCUCUCAGGCAGCUCUGAAGGGCCCAACAGGGCAUCCGGCCCUCCUUCUGCCUCUCCUGUGGGGCUGCUUCACUCGCUUCUGGCGGGCCAGAGUCCCAGGACACCCAGCUUCGCCCCAGAGCCGGUCUGGUGGCUGCGGAGGAGCAGAGAGCUGUUGGGGAGCGCCCAAAGGGCAGUGCUUGGCCUGCCCCCACCUUCCGGGCCCCAUGUGCAGUGGGGAGCACUGCCUCCCUCGGGGAGACGCUGGGGGCCGAAGCCUAGGCAGAGGACUUGGCCCUCCCUCCCUGGUGUCAGGUGGGAAUAUCUGUGAGGAUAACUGGCAGAACUCGCAUUCAGAGCCGCCCGGUUUACAGGCCCCAAAGGCUCCCUCGUGCCUGCAGGCUACUCGGCGGAGCAGGUGUGGACAGAAGAAGCCCCGAGGCGUGCGUGGAACAGGGGAUGCCUAUCAGGCAGCGACCAGGGCGGCAUACAAGACGUCCCCACCUAGUGAGGCUCUUGAAUACGGAAUGCCGGGGUCAGGGAAGGGGGGUGGCAGAGGCCGCGGGAGAGCGCUGAGGCGGCUGCGUCUGGAGGGAAGGGAAGCUCCCUGGCGACCAGGCAUGGGCCCUGGUGCUCCGACCUCAGCAGACAAGAGGGGCAGCUGGGGGCACCCGGCAGGGCGCCUCACGGGCUCCCACGAGGGCCGGCUCUCCUCAAAGGGAUUGUGGCCCGGCGUAAGAGGAAGCAGGCCGAGAGGAGGCCGCGGCUUCGUGUCCCCUUCGCUAGCUGCCAAAGCCCUUUCCAAAGGCCCAUCUCAGAAAGAGAACCUGGAAGGAGAGCGAUGGGGGGCGGCCACGGAACAGACCCAGACCCGGGGAGUUCCUUCCUUCCCGCCUCCGACGGUGCUGUUUCUGGCAUCCGCCGUCACUGGCCAGGGCCCUUUGGGCCAUUGUCCUCGCAGCCCAGGACAGGAGCUGUCAGCAGAGCCCUUCAGCCUCCCCCGGGCCGCAGCCCUGGGCCCUGCCGGGCCUCGGAAUUUCCCAGCAGGCUUCGGGCGUCCAUGA
rnacentral:lncRNA from 1 species